rnacentral:lncRNA from 1 species
UUUGGUUAAAGGUAUGGAACUGUCUCAAAGUGUGAGAACAGCUAUUUGAGCUAGCAAAGAGUGGUAAAAGGGAUAAGAGUGCUCAAAUAUUUUGAGGGUACCCAUGAGUUCACAAUGAAAUGCACAAGCAAUGAUAAUUAGAUUGUCAAAUUAAGGUUCUCACUUAGAUAAGGCUGGACUAUUCAAUGCUUGAUUCACUCAACAAGUUCAAAGCAUGGAUCAGUCUUG